GAUGAACGCUAGCGGGAGGCCUAAUACAUGCAAGUCGAGCGGUAGAGUGACUUCGGUUGCUUGAGAGCGGCGAACGGGUGAGUAACGCGUACACAAUCUACCUUUAAGAGGGGAAUAGCCCUGGGAAACUGGGAUUAAUGCCCCAUGGCAUCACGAGACGGCAUCGUUUUGUGAUUAAAGCUGAGGUGCUUAGAGAUGAGUGUGCGUCUGAUUAGCUAGUUGGUGCGGUAACGGCGCACCAAGGCGACGAUCAGUAGGGGGCGUGAGAGCGUGGACCCCCACACGGGUACUGAGACACGGACCCGACUCCUACGGGAGGCAGCAGUAAGGAAUAUUGGUCAAUGGAGGAAACUCUGAACCAGCCAUCCCGCGUGCAGGAAGAAUGCCCUAUGGGUUGUAAACUGCUUUUAUCUGGGAAGAAAGUCGGGAUUUAUCCUGAUCUGACGGUACCAGAGGAAUAAGCACCGGCUAACUCCGUGCCAGCAGCCGCGGUAA
rnacentral:rRNA from 1 species